rnacentral:rRNA from 1 species
UCGUACCCAUAACCGCAUCAGGUCUCCAAGGUUAGCAGCCUCUGGUCGAUAGAAUAAUGUAGAUAAGGGAAUUCGGCAAAAUAGA